GACGAAGGGGGCUAGCGUUGUUCGGAAUUAUUGGGCGUAAAGCGCGUGUAGGCGGCUUUGCAAGUCGGGUGUGAAAGCCCUCGGCUCAACCGAGGAAGUGCGCCCGAAACUGCAGAGCUUGAGUACUGAAGAGGAUCGCGGAAUUCCCGGUGUAGAGGUGAAAUUCGUAGAUAUCGGGAGGAACACCAGUGGCGAAGGCGGCGAUCUGGGCAGAUACUGACGCUGAGGUGCGAAAGCGUGGGGAGCAAACAGG
rnacentral:rRNA from 1 species